UACGGAGGGUGCGAGCGUUGUCCGGAAUCACUGGGCGUAAAGGGCGCGUAGGCGGCUUCUCAAGCGUGUGGUGAAAGUCCGGGGCUCAACCCCGGAUCGGCCGUGCGGACUGGGGAGCUCGAGUUCUGUAGAGGCGGGUGGAAUUCCGGGUGUAGCGGUGGAAUGCGUAGAGAUCCCCAAGAACACCGAUUGCGAAGGCAGCCAGCUGGGUCCACAUUGACGCUGAGGCUCGAAAGCAUGGGGAGCAAACAGG
rnacentral:rRNA from 1 species